rnacentral:misc_RNA from 1 species
GAUGAAGAACGCAGCGAAAUGCGAUAAGUAAUGUGAAUUGCAGAAUUCAGUGAAUCAUCGAAUCUUUGAACGCACAUUGCGCCCGCCAGUAUUCUGGCGGGCAUGCCUGUUCGAGUGUCAUUUCAACCAUCAAGCCCCCGGCUUGUGUUGGGGACCUGCGGCUGCCCGCAGGCCCUGAAAACCAGUGGCGGGCUCGCUGUCACUCCGAGCGUAGUAGCAUAUAUCUCGCUCAGGGCGUGCUGCGGGUUCCGGCCGUUAAAAGCCUUUUUUUACCCAAGGUUGACCUCGGAUCAGGUAGGAAGACCCGCUGAACUUAAGCAUAUCAAUAAGCGGAGGA